ACGGGACUCUUCGGAGUUCAGUGGCGGACGGGUGAGUAACGCGUGAGAAUCUGCCUAGAGGAUGGGGACAACCACGGGAAACUGUGGCUAAUACCCAAUGAGCGGAGACGUUAAAGAUUUAUCGCCUCUAGAGGAGCUCGCGUCUGAUUAGCUAGUUGGUGGGGUAAAAGCCUACCAAGGCGACGAUCAGUAGCUGGUCUGAGAGGACAACCAGCCACACUGGGACUGAGACACGGCCCAGACUCCUACGGGAGGCAGCAGUGGGGAAUUUUCCGCAAUGGGCGAAAGCCUGACGGAGCAAUACCGCGUGAGGGAGGAAGGCUCUUGGGUCGUAAACCUCUUUUCUCAGGGAAGAAGAAAGUGACGGUACCUGAGGAAUCAGCCUCGGCUAACUCCGUGCCAGCAGCCGCGGUAAUACGGAGGAGGCAAGCGUUAUCCGGAAUUAUUGGGCGUAAAGCGUCCGUAGGUGGCUCUUCAAGUCUGCUGCCAAAGAGUGGGGCUUAACUCCAGAAAGGCAGUGGAAACUGAAAGGCUAGAGAGCCGUAGGGGUAGAGGGAAUUCCCGGUGUAGCGGUGAAAUGCGUAGAGAUCGGGAAGAACAUCGGUGGCGAAAGCGCUCUACUGGACGGUAUCUGACACUGAGGGACGAAAGCUAGGGGAGCGAAUGGGAUUAGAUACCCCAGUAGUCCUAGCCGUAAACGAUGGAUACUAGGCG
rnacentral:rRNA from 1 species